GGACGAACGCUGGCGGCGUGCUUAACACAUGCAAGUCGAACGGUAAGGCCCUUCGGGGUACACGAGUGGCGAACGGGUGAGUAACACGUGGGUGAUCUGCCCUGCACUUUGGGAUAAGCCUGGGAAACUGGGUCUAAUACCGAAUAUGACCAUGGACUUCACGGUUUGUGGUGGAAAGCUUUUGCGGUGUGGGAUGGGCCCGCGGCCUAUCAGCUUGUUGGUGGGGCAAUGGCCUACCAAGGCGACGACGGGUAGCCGGCCUGAGAGGGUGACCGGCCACACUGGGACUGAGAUACGGCCCAGACUCCUACGGGAGGCAGCAGUGGGGAAUAUUGCACAAUGGGCGCAAGCCUGAUGCAGCGACGCCGCGUGGGGAUGACGGCCUUCGGGUUGUAAACCUCUUUCACCAGGGACGAAGCGAGAGUGACGGUACCUGGAGAAGAAGGACCGGCCAACUACGUG
rnacentral:rRNA from 1 species